ensembl:lncRNA
CUAAAUUUUGUGAAAUGUGAGUUCGUAGUUUAUGGUUUAAGGUAGUUGUGAAAGUAAAAUUUGGUAUAGAAAAAGCUAUUUUGAAUCAUAAAUUGGACUACACAUUGUCACGUGUUAGUUGUUUUGUGCAAUCAGUGAGGACAUUGUACCGUGAUAUAAAUGUGUUGUCGUUUUAUUGUUUUAUAAGUGUCAAAUUACAUUAUAUUUGGCCACAAGUUGUACUGACCAAUUUUAUGGUACUUCGUUGGAAGUGAAUUCAUACAUGGAUUUGGACAGACUAGAGAAUGUCUAAAUGAGGACAGAUUUUCAUUUCUGGUUGAACUAGCCCUUUAAAUUGUCAGAGUAAGUUUCAAAGGUAGCCGUCCACUUGCGAGUGUAAAUGAGGACAUGGGCACAGUGGUGACUCAGCCUGGGGAUUCGGUCCCCUGGUGAGUCUUGCAGUAAACAGCAGCGAUAUGUCUCAUCAGUAAGUCCCCACAGACAGAAGUUUGCUGGGACACAUCACCUUCAUGCCACUUUCAACAUCUCUUAGCCUAAAUACCAAUCAUCCUUUCUCUCUAUGUUUUAGCCAUUCACAGCAGGUCAUGUUUUCCUGAGCAUUACAGUCAUCUCCAGUCAUCUUUUGUGAAUGACUUUGAAGAGUCCUGCAUGAGCUGCUCUGGCUGUGUCACUGAAUGUCGAAGAUUGUUUCCAUAAUUCAUGGAUCCAAACUGUGCUCUCAACACCAGGAGCUUCAAAGAAGAUGGAGAGAGUCAGAGUCUUGUGCCCUGCGUUUAUCAGUAUUCUUAUGUUCGUUGGGUGAAAAAGAAAAACUCAAUAAACAAAGUAAAAAAUUAUUUGACUGAUAUCUUUUUCCCCCCAAGAUUUCUAGAUAUAUCACGAUAUAUCGAUAUCGUGAAUUGUUAUGGCCACAAUAACCGUGAAAUGAAAAAUCUAAUAUUGUGACAACCCUACUGCAGAUGAUCCAUUGCUGAGCAAGUGAUGUAAUACUAAAUUUCUCCAAACUUGUUCUGAUGAAGAAGCAAACUCAUCUACAUCUUAAACAUAAUUAGGGAUGAGUGUAGGAGGUUAAAGCAUGUUGUAAGUAUAAAAGUCUAACAACUUACAAAAGUCUGACAUAUAAUCCUCAAUGUGCCGGUUUCCUUGGCGAAGACGCAGAAGGGCAAUUGUUGGGUUCAUUGUGGUGGUCGAGUAUUCUAACAAUUAGUCCACUGAAGGUGAGUUGAAGAACACAAGUGCAGCUUUAUUAAGACAGAGCAGAAUCCAAAAUCCAAAUAAAUACAAAACAAAGAAUUGACUUGGUAUGAACAGACUUGAACCGACUUGACUUUAGUAAUGGCCGCUUUCAAAUCACUGCUUCGUGAAGCUUUAAAACUUUUGCGAAUCAUUUGUUUCAAAACAAAAUUAUGUCAUCACAGCAUUCUUUACGGCAAUCUCUGUAAACCAGUAAAUCAUGCAAGUUCAUUGAGAUCGCCUCCCAGUGGCGAAUCAUUGAAACAGUGUAUAUGGUUUUUACCUGAUCUCGGAUCAGUUUCAUUAAUUUGUUAACAUUUUUAAUAAGACAUUUGUGUACUCAAAAGGAUGAGAAGUAAUUAAAAGUAGUUAAUAGUGUCUUUCUGGACUAUAUAUACAAGCUCUUCAUAAAAAAUAAAAAAAACACAAGCCCUGCAAAAUAAUAUAAAA